AUGGAUCCAGGCCAUGGCCCGCCCUGCUCGUCCCUCCAUCCCCUCUACAACGGUGCAGACGAGGCCCUAGCACUCGCCUCCCCCACGAGCUCCAGGUAUGAGGUCCAAGACCCGCCUCAUCUGGAUCGGGCCACGGUGUCGCGCCACCACCACGUGAAACCGGCUGCCUCCUCCGCCAUUGACGACAUCCACACGGACAGCCGUACCACAACAUGUCCCUAG
rnacentral:rRNA from 1 species